GUGCCAGCAGCCGCGGUAAUACCAGCCCCGCGAGUGGUCAGGACGAUUACUGGGCCUAAAGCGCCCGUAGCCGGUCUAGCAAGUCCUCUCUGAAAGCUCUGGGCCUAACCCGGAGAGCGGAGAGGAUACUGCUAGGCUAGGGGGCGGGAAAGGCCGGGGGUACUCCUAGGGUAGGGGCGAAAUCCGAUAAUCCUAGGAGGACCACCAGUGGCGAAGGCGCCCGGCUGGAACGCGCCCGACGGUGAGGGGCGAAAGCUGGGGGAGCGGACCGGAUUAGAUACCCGGGUAGUCCCAGCUGUAAACGAUGCAGGCUAGGUGUUAGAUGGGCGUUAGUGCCCAUCUAGUGCCGCAGGGAAGCCGUUAAGCCUGCCGCCUGGGGAGUACGGCCACAAGGCUGAAACUUAAAGGAAUUGGCGGGGGGGCACACAAGGGGUGGAGCCUGCGGCUCAAUUGGAGUCAACGCCGGGAACCUCCACCGGGAGCGACAGCAGGAUGACGGCCAGGCUAACGGCCUUGCCUGACGCGCUGAGGGGAGGUGCAUGGCCGUCGCCAGCUCGUGCUGUGAAGUGUCCUGUUAAGUCAGGCAACGAGCGAGACCC
rnacentral:rRNA from 1 species